CGCGCAGGUGGUUUCUUAAGUCUGAUGUGAAAGCCCACGGCUCAACCGUGGAGGGUCAUUGGAAACUGGGAGACUUGAGUGCAGAAGAGGAUAGUGGAAUUCCAAGUGUAGCGGUGAAAUGCGUAGAGAUUUGGAGGAACACCAGUGGCGAAGGCGACUGUCUGGUCUGUAACUGACACUGAGGCGCGAAAGCGUGGGUAGCAAACA
rnacentral:rRNA from 1 species